rnacentral:rRNA from 1 species
GACGAACGCUGGCGGCGUGCCUAAUACAUGCAAGUAGAACGCUGAAGGAAGGAGCUUGCUCUUUCUGGCUGAGUUGCGAACGGGUGAGUAACGCGUAGGUAACCUGCCUGGUAGCGGGGGAUAACUAUUGGAAACGAUAGCUAAUACCGCAUAAAAUUGAUUAUUGCAUGAUAGUCAAUUAAAAGGUGCAACUGCACCACUACCAGAUGGACCUGCGUUGUAUUAGCUAGUUGGUGGGGUAACGGCUCACCAAGGCGACGAUACAUAGCCGACCUGAGAGGGUGAUCGGCCACACUGGGACUGAGACACGGCCCAGACUCCUACGGGAGGCAGCAGUAGGGAAUCUUCGGCAAUAGACGGAAGUCUGACCGAGCAACGCCGCGUGAGUGAAGAAGGUUUUCGGAUCGUAAAGCUCUGUUGUAAGAGAAGAACGAGUGUGAGAGUGGAAAGUUCACACUGUGACGGUAUCUUACCAGAAAGGGACGGCUAACUACGUG